AUGAAAUUUUCACAGGGGAGGAGGAGCAGCAACAUUUUGCCCAAGUUAAGGUUACACUGGCAAUAUACCAAGCAGCCCGAAGCACUUAAUUUUCAUGAGAGAUCUGAUUACAGCAGCCUGUAUUUGAGUACAGAAAUAUGUCCUGCAGAAUCUGCAGCCCCAGUGCUGCUUCCAAGGAGCAAGGACUGGAGCUCCAGCCUUCCAGGGAGUUUAUCACUCACCAGAUGGGAAAGAACGAAGAACAAAGAUGAUGCAACUUAUUUAAAGAAGGCUUGGGAGAGCGAGACAAAGAAUUCAGAUCUGAUAUCCAAGCCACUGCCUUAAAUUUUCUGUCAAUACCCUUUCAACUUCAUGCUAUGCAAUAAACAUUCAAGCUGGGCAUAAAUACA
ensembl:lncRNA